UUGAUGACAGAUGGAGAAAAAGACUUGAUUGCAGCAUACAUGUGUCUGUGGGAACAGAGGAUAUGAAGAACAAAGAAAUAAUGCGCAUGAACAGCCUGCAUGCAUGACAGCAAAAGAACAGCAGGGAAGCAUUCUGACACAUUUUUAUGGACUUGCUUAUGAUUGUGGCACACAUUUAUUUGAAUUCAUUCAUCUUUAGUAACCGAUGAGCCCAGUCAGGGUCACAGGGGUAGUGAGUACCAGGUGGGAAUUCACCCUGCAGGAGACACCAGUCCAUUACUCGACAUCCUGUACAGUCCUGGUGUCACAAACCGAUACACACAGACAUGCUCUCUCACACACUCAUUCACACCCAGGGACAAUUUAGCAUAGCCAAUUCACCUAGCAGCAUGCCUUUGGAAGGAAGCUGGUGUACCUAGAGAACAUGUACAGAAACUCUACAUAGACAGUAAAUGUGGACCCUGUAGCUGUGCUGUCUUUAUUUUAAUUUCCCCUCUUAAAUUAUUAAGCACAAUAGGCAAAAAUGUACAACCAGAUUCAGUCAUUUCCACUCCUUCAUUGCUAUGUCCCUUCAUGGUUCACCCCGUUCUCAGUUUGUUCCUGAUUAAUUAAUGGAUUUUAGCCUGAUGUUACAUUGUCUCUAUGAAGAGUUUUAUCACACCUUCUAUGUCGCAAGUCCAAGAUUUGUUUUGCUUUCUGGUUACGAGAUCUAUGUUUCCUGGCUAUGACUCAUGCUCCUGUUUCCUGUUCAUGGAUUACACCCAGGUUAUUUCUGCCAGGCUGUACUUUUACCUGGCCUACAGACCUUGAUGACGAUGAUGUAUGGAAAUGCCUAAAUAAUACACACGUGGAAUACAUGUGCUUAUAUCCUGCCUCAUCUCACUGUAUGUCAUGGCUUCAAGAACAAAGAAAAACAUGAAUAAUGUUUACUCUAUAAUCUACGAAAUCUGAAUAAUCUCUUGUUAAAAGACAAAAUGUAAUAAUGCAAUAUGAAGCACACUGCUUUUGUGUGUGGAUGACUAUAAUUGGUUGGGACUUGUGAAUAGUGUGUAUGUAAGCGAAUACGAGUCUCUCGCUAUGUGUGUCAGUGUGUGCUCAUUAAUGAGUUGUGAUGGAUGAGUGUAGGGAUGGGAGAACAGAUGUGCUCAUUGGUUUUUGUCUCAUUUAUAAGUCUGCAACCAUAAAGAGUGAACUCCUUCAUCUCAAACACCCCUGACGACAACACACACACACCCACACACAUACACAGACACAAUGCACAGUGCAGCGGUCCACCAGCCUGUUCCAAGCUGUGGCGUUGAGAUGGUUGCCUCUGGUGAUGCAUUUGCAAUUUACUUUAAUGAAUGCUGCUCAAACAUGUCCCCCAGUGGCAUUUGACAACAGCUGACUGUGGCAGAUUCACCAUCAGCUAUGUCCCCCAACUACAUUACCCUUAAACCCUGACUUAGAUCUGUGCAUCUCUCACUGGUGUAAUCUCUAACUUUUUAUUCGAGCAUUCGGGGUGAAAGAGGAAUCUGAUAGCAUACAAUGUUAUCACCACACACACUCACAUGCAAAUCUGCAAAGGCAGAGGGGAAUGAAGAGAAAUAGAGAUGAAUAUAUGUGUAGCUAUGCAGUGAGAAGAGGAGGGAGGUCACUGCUUAGAAAGCAGAGCAGGAGAUGGCAGGAGGGUUAAGAUGAAGAAAACUGUAAUGAAACAAAAUGUAAUCUAACAGUGAGGUAACUAAACUAUUAAUCACAAGGCUCCCAGGUGAACAAUGGGAGAUAUUGGCUUGCAUGAACUCACAUCCAUCAUCGCAAUGCCUUAGAGACGCCUGCGCACGCAACCAUGCCCCCCCAACACACACACACACACAGAAAGAGAUAUGUCCGAUAACAGGAACUGUUCUUAACACUAGUUGAAAUAGAAUGUGUUUAUUACUUUUAGUAGCUGGUGUCAGUAUACAAAUUUUGUGAAUGCACAGAAGAGAUACUAUCUAAAGAGAUAUGCUCUUUUUUUUUAAACAAACACACUUUCAGUGCUGCUCAGAAAGUUCCAAAGGUUGUAAGGGAUGGAGCAGUGGGACCAAUGCUCAUCUGUGAGACAUACAGUGAAUUAAAAAUCCUCUCAGGUCAGGGGUUAAAUUAGGCAGUUGUACACAGGGGCAACAUCCUGGCACUGUUGGUAAAUGUAAAUGCCAACCCUAGUUUAUCGCUCUGAAAGGCAGUCCCUAGAUACAUUUUAUCUAUUUGAUGGAUGUGGGCUAUGCUACUAACCCCAGUCCUUCCCCUGCUCAUGUUCCAUAAUCGCUGCAGUCCCUGUUUACAGGCUUUGUAUGCUUAUAGCUAUAAUUGGAGUGAGGCAUGAAUACUCUAUGGACAGGAUAGCACUUCACCAUAGGACACACACACACAAUUUGAAUUUGAGUCUCAAAUCCACCUCCUGGCAUGUUUUAAGAGGCAGGAGGAAACCCACACAGAGGCGGGGAAGAGCAUGCAAAACUCUACACAGACAGUAAACACGAGAUUGGGAUCAAACUGAGAACCCUAGAGCUGUGAGGCGGCAAUGCUACCCACUGCACAACAAGGCUGACAAUUUACCUCAGAUCAAGCAUGUACCAGGGGAUUGGAAGCUUUCCCCUGCCAGUCUCCGUGUGUACACUUAUGACAGAGGUCAGCACGUAAAUUGGAAGGUCUCCUACCUUUCGAGCAGUCCAUGCCAUGGAAGCCGGGGAAGCAGUGACACACUCCUGACACACAUUCGCCGUUUCCAUGGCAAUUCCUCGGGCACUCUUGCACAGAGUCUGUGAAAGGGAGGACACUUGUCUGAGAAAUGGCGGUUAUGACAGGAAAGACGACUGAGCUCACCCCACCCUACAAGCCUGACCACACUGGAUUCACCUUCCCAGCAAUCACCUGCACUUCCUCGUUCCCACUCACCAUCCUUCUAGUUGUUUUUUAAACCUGUGGUUUAUUACUGUGUUCUGUUUAGCACUGUUUCAGUUUGUAUUUUGAGUUAAUCGUUUAGAUUCAUGCCUAGCCUGUGUUUAUCUGUUUAGCCAACCUGUGCCUGUUCUAACCCAGCUUUUUUACAUAAUUUUGGAUAUUCCAGUGUAGCUGUACCUAAUAUAAUGACCCAUUUCUAAUAAACUGACCUGCAUUUUCCAUGAAAUUAAAUGUAACUAUAAACAAAUA